CCCCUGGUGGUCUAGUGGUUAGGAUGCGGAGCUCUCACCUCCGCGGCCCGGGUUCGAUUCCCGGUCAGGGGA
rnacentral:tRNA from 1 species